rnacentral:rRNA from 1 species
UACGUAGGGGCGAGCGUUGUCCGGAGUUACUGGGCGUAAAGGGCGUGCAGGCGGUGCGGUAAGUUUAGAGUGACAGUAUCCGGCUUAACUGGAUAAGGCCUCUGAAAACUGCCGGACUUGAGGCCAGAGAGGGACAUAGAAUUCCGGGUGGAGUGGUGAAAUUCGUAGAUAUUCGCAAGAACACCGAGUGGCGAAGGCGGCUUACGUGGACCG